rnacentral:rRNA from 1 species
CGUAAAGCGCGCGUAGGCGGUUAUUUAAGUGAGGUGUGAAAUCCCCUGGGCUCAACCUAGGAACUGCAUUUCAAACUGGAUAACUUGAGUAUGUCAGAGGGUAUUGGAAUUUCCCCGUGUAGCAGUGAAAUGCGUAGAUAUGGGAAGGAACAUCAGUGGCGAAGGCGAAUACCUGGGAUAAUACUGACGCUCGAGGUGCGAAAGCGUGGGGACGCAAACGGGAUUAGAUACCCCUGGUAG